UACGUAGGGUGCAAGCGUUAAUCGGAAUACUGGGCGUAAAGCGUGCGCAGGCGGUUUGUAAGUUUGUCGUGAAAUCCCCGGGCUCAACCUGGGAAUGGCGAUGAAGACUGCAAGGCUAGAAUCUGGCAGAGGGGGGUAGAAUUCCACGUGUAGCAGUGAAAUGCGUAGAGAUGUGGAGGAACACCGAUGGCGAAGGGCAGCCCCCUGGGUCAAGAUUGACG
rnacentral:rRNA from 1 species